GUAGAUAUCAAGUAUGAGGU
rnacentral:sRNA from 1 species